rnacentral:sRNA from 1 species
GGAUGUGAGGGCGAUCUGGCUGCGACAUCUGUCACCCCCAUUGACCUCCAGGGUUGAUUCGGCUGAUCUGGCUGGCUAGGCGGGUGUCCCCUUCCUCCCUCCCUCAAUUCAUGUAUUUGUCCAGGUUUAGAGCAAAUUUGGGGAAGAAUCCCCCAAAGGAGCUCCGGUGGGAAAAGCAGAUCCAAUCGGCCCCUCCCCACAACUGGUCUGGGAGGAAAAAAAUACCUCCUUGGAGAAAGGUGGAAAAAACUGUUUAUUAAAUAAUAAAACCAAAACAAUAUCAAACAAUGAUACCCCUUG